rnacentral:sRNA from 1 species
GCUGGGCAUUGCGGUGUGCGCCUGUAAUCCCAACUACUUGGGAGGCCGAGACAGGAGAAUUGCUAGAACCCAGGAGGCGGAGGUUGCAGUGAACCGAGAUCGCGACACUGCACUCCAGCCUGGGCGACAGAGUGAGAAUCCAUCUCAAAAAA